rnacentral:rRNA from 1 species
UACGUAGGGUGCGAGCGUUGUCCGGAAUUAUUGGGCGUAAAGGGCUCGUAGGCGGUUUGUCGCGUCGGGAGUGAAAUCCACUGGCUUAACUGGUGGCUUGCUUUCGAUACGGGCAGACUGGAGGUAUGCAGGGGAGAACGGAAUUCCUGGUGUAGCGGUGAAAUGCGCAGAUAUCAGGAGGAACACCGGUGGCGAAGGCGGCCAUCUGGACCGGUUCUGACGCUGAGGCGCGAAAGCGUGGGGAGCGAACAGG